rnacentral:rRNA from 1 species
GACGAACGCUGGCGGCGUGCUUAACACAUGCAAGUCGAACGGAAAGGCCUUUUCGGAGGUACUCGAGUGGCGAACGGGUGAGUAACACGUGGGUGAUCUGCCCUGCACUCUGGGAUAAGCCUGGGAAACUGGGUCUAAUACCGGAUAGGACCGCACUUUAGUGUGUGUGGUGGAAAGUUUUUUCGGUGUAGGAUGAGGCCGCGGCCUAUCAGCUUGUUGGUGGGGUAAUGGCCUACCAAGGCGGCGACGGGUAGCCGGACUGUGAGGUUGGUCGGCCACAUUGGGACUGAGGUACGGCCCAGACUGCUACGGGAGGCAGCAGUGGGGAAUAUUGCACAAUGGGCGCAAGCCUGAUGCAGCGACGCCGCGUGGGGGAUGACGGCCUUCGGGUUGUAAACUCCUUUCGCCAGGGACGAAGCGUUUUGUGACGGUACCUGGAGAAGAAGCACCGGCUAACUACGUG